rnacentral:rRNA from 1 species
GUGGGGAAUAUUGCACAAUGGGCGCAAGCCUGAUGCAGCCAUGCCGCGUGUGUGAAGAAGGCCUUCGGGUUGUAAAGCACUUUCAGCGGGGAGGAAGGCGUUAAGGUUAAUAACCUUGGCGAUUGACGUUACCCGCAGAAGAAGCACCGGCUAACUCCGUGCCAGCAGCCGCGGUAAUACGGAGGGUGCAAGCGUUAAUCGGAAUUACUGGGCGCAAAGCGCACGCAGGCGGUCUGUCAAGUCGGAUGUGAAAUCCCCGGGCUCAACCUGGGAACUGCAUUCGAAACUGGCAGGCUAGAGUCUUGUAGAGGGGGGUAGAAUUCCAGGUGUAGCGGUGAAAUGCGUAGAGAUCUGGAGGAAUACCGGUGGCGAAGGCGGCCCCCUGGACAAAGACUGACGCUCAGGUGCGAAAGCGUGGGGAGCAAACAGGAUUAGAUACCCCGGUAGUCC